UCCCUUCUGAAACUCUCUCGAGUGUUCUUGAAACCCUAAUCACCUUCUCCCCAUUUUCAACCUCCAACUCACCAGAAUCCAUGGCUUCCCAGGCCAUGGAUGAUCUAUGUUCAUCUCCCAUCGUUCAUGUGUACCCAGUGCUCGAGGGUUUGAGGCUAGACCUCAAAGGUCUCCACCCAGACCUCUGUUGACUUAGGGUUUUCGGCCAUCUCCGGCUUGGCUCCGGCAUAUCUUAGCCUCAUGAUCAUGCCUCCAGCCUUAUCUGACUUAGAUCGGACAUUUUCGAGGCUUUUCUCACUCUAGGGUUCGUCUGAAACCCUAGCUGCUCGAAGUUUUUUUCCGUUUCUCUUCAAAUAUGUGUGUAUUCUUGCUUUACUUUGAGUUUUUAAAGGUUUUCCC
rnacentral:lncRNA from 1 species